GUCUAAUCUGCUCAAUGAGGAAUUAAAUUGCCGCGGUAUUUUGACCGUGCAAAGGUAGCAUAAUAAUUAGUUUUUUUAUUGAAAGCUGGAAUGAAUGAUUGGACGAGAAAAUAGCUGUCUCUUAAAAAUUUAGUGUUGAAUUUAACUUUUGAGUAAAAAGGCUUAAAUUUAUUUUAAAGACGAGAAGACCCUAUAGAGUUUAAUAAUUUGUUAAUUAUUGAUGUUUUUGGUUAUUUUAGUUAUUAGUAAUUAUAUAAUUAUUUGGUUGGGGUGACUUAAAGAUUAAUAAAACUCUUUUAGAAAUUUUAAAUCAUUGAUUUAUGAAUAAGGAAUCUAGGUUUUCUAAAUAUAAGAUAAAUUACCUUAGGGAUAACAGCGUAAUUUUUUUUUAGAGUUCUUAUUGGAAAAAAAGUUUGCGACCUCGAUGUUGGAUUAAAAUUAAUUUUUGGUGUAGAAGCUGAAAGAUUAGGUCUGUUCGACCUUU
rnacentral:rRNA from 1 species